AAAAAAAAAUGAGGCUGCAAAAAAUCAAUAAUGACUGCCCCAUUGCUCAAAAUAUAUUUCAUUUCUGUUAUCUUCCUUACAUUCUUCUCUCAUGACUCGGUCUAUCCGCCAAAUUCUAAACCUGGAUCCUCAAUGAAAACUCCACUGGAUGGUUGGGGAAAAAACACGAAUUUACAGUUUCCAGUGGAAAGAACGAGGGUCAUGGAAAUUAAUCAGUCUAUCAGACAAGCCUUCUUAACAAACUGAUGAAAAACAGCUGCAUUUUAAUCUGUACUUAGUAUGUUGUGCCGCUCGCAUACACUGGACCCAUUUUCUGCCCACCACUUCUCUGCUUCUUGUUCUGUGAAAUGUUUCCGACUGAAACGAAUCCUCUUGAGUUCAUUACCACCACCUGGCAAGGAAGACAAUGUAAUGUACACGCCUGGUUCAGCUUGUACCACCCACGGUGGCUUCUCAGUUUGAGCUUUGGCAGUGUAAGACAACAUUUGAUGAUCCACUGCAUUACCGUUGGACUCAAUUUCACAAGAGAGUUCACAUGAAGAAUGUCUUUCACUGGAUAUGUUUUGAGCAAUGGAUGCAUGUUUGGUAAUAGAACCUGAAAUAGGGCUGGAAUUCUGUUUUUCUGGCAGUUUUUCUGCCAUCUGCUUCAACUGAGCAGUAAGAGUCUUGAUAACUUCUUUCGCAGAUUUGCGUUUUUCAGCUUCAUCUGCUGCUAUUGCAGCAACCUCCUUAAGUUGCCUUGAUUUUCUUUCAAGUUCAGCGUCAAGGUGACGGGAUUUGUAAGUAAGCUCUUCUACCUGUGCCCUCAAACUUGUAAUUUCAUCAAUUAAACUGUCAUUCAUGUACUUUGAAUCGUCAAAAGAAGAUCGAGGUGGACUUAUCCUUCCUGGAAGAGGAGAUGUUGCUAGAGAGGCCAUUCUGGAACCAGGAGUUGAAUUUUGGAAAGUUUUCUUUGUGGCGCCACCUAGAAAAGUUGGCACUUUCAAUGAAUGAAAGCCCCCCAAUUGCCAUGUUCCAUUUAGAACAGGGAAGAUGCGGCUAGUAUCUGAGUCAGAUAGUCUGUCACGCCUGGAAUGCCAGCUUUCGGACUGACCAACAGACUCCGAAGAUGAAAGUCUGGAGAGUUGUGCCUGUAAUCUGGGACCCAGAGCCACUCUAUCUGCUGCAUCAUUGCUUUUCUGGUUCAUAUUUCCAGCUCUGGCUUUUGGAAGUCGUGCAACUGAACCAGGAUCUGCAGCCUUCUUUAGUUUAUUGAAACAAUCAUCACAGACCCUAUGUGGCUUAUUCAUGUUAGGAGCCAAGGAAGCUUUUAAAGAUUUUCUACCACUGCAUGCUUUGCAAAAGACUAGACCACAGUUGUAACAAUUGUGGCGUUUUCUUCUAAAACCAAAUGGAUUACGACAACCAGAGCAUACUGAAUGAUCAGUACUAGAAACCCAUUUGUGAAGACAUAUAAUUGCAGUAAAAUUUGAACCACAUGCUAUAGACUUCACAUGCUUAUCUUUUAGAAAAUCAACAUGCGUAGGUGUAUUUCUAUCUUCAUUGUCCCCAUGGCCUAAUUGUCCAUUAGAGCCCUUUCCCCAAGUGUAAACCUCAGCUUUGGAAGUCAAAACUGCAACAUGAUAAGAACCACAGGCAAUCUCUUCAACAAAACUGCCUGCUAUUUUACCUUCAACAAUAGUAGGAACCUUCCCAGUAGCUGUAGGAUUUCCAAGUUGCCCAUAAGAAGCACUUCCCAUUGUAUAUACUUGUCCUGUUGCUGUAAGGGCAACUGUGAGAUUAUGCCCACAGGCUACUUGACAAAUAUUUUCAUCACCUAAUGCAUCUACACACUCAGGAAUAAGUUUAGAUUCUUUAUCACCAUGUCCAAGGCGGCCUUUAUCUCCAUCCCCCCAGGUGAAAAGUUUUCCUGAUGAAGAGCUGCUGGAAGCUUUUGGACUAGAUGAUUCAGUCCUUACUUCAACAACAGCAACUGUGUGCCAAACACCACAAGCAACUCUUGUUGUUCUUAGUCCUCUCAAGGCUUCCACUUCCCGUGGGAUGGUCGUGCUAUUAUGAUCUCCAUGGCCAAGGGAGCCAAAAGUUCCGUCUCCAAAUGUAAACAACUGACCACCAGAUGUCACAAAAGCAGUAUGCCAAGGUCCACAUGAGAUAUAUAAUACAUGUAUGCCCUCGAUGUCACCGCAUACUUUUUUAGGCAUCCACUGACUGGCUUCACUUCCAUGCCCAAGAAGACCACAAUUGUAAGCACCAUCUCCCCAUGUAUAAAGAUCUCCAGAAAGAGUAACGGCACAAGUGUGGUGCUCUCCACAUGCUACUAACUCAAUAUUGAUCCCAGCCAGGGUAUCUAUAAGCUUUGGGUGGGGAACAUCCAUUUCUAUGCCAUGCCCUAGCCUGCCUCCUGAACCUUCCCCCCAGCUGAAGACCUCACCUUGCUUAGUGACCAACACAGCAUGCCUGCCACCACAAGCAAUAUUAUGGACAUCGAGAACAACUUUAGACUCUAAUGCCUUAGGUAGAAGCGAGUCUAUCUUGGAGCUAGAUGAAUUCCCAAUUUUGUGCACACCACCUCCCAAUACUCCAUCUCCAAUACCUUCUCCCCAAAAGAAAACAUCACCUAAGGCAUCGAAGUCUUCAUGAUAGGAACCCUGGCUGGAUGAGCUUACAGCACUGGAUAAACUGACUCUAACUGUAUCAGUCGUAGAAGGUCGACCAUUUGAGUUAUCUACACAUGCAGCUGUUAGUGAACUAAAAGGGCUGGUUAGAUCUACUUGACUUGGACUCUUGGGCACCGCAGUAUAUGAUAUUAUGUCACAGAAUGCCUUUCCCAAUCUAUUUUGAGGGGCACUGUUGACAGGAACCUGACUUCCCUGACUAUCUCCUUGCCCUGGAUCAAAUGGUGAAAUUGAUGGAGAAUGCUUCCGUGUACGAGUUUGUGGACUAUUUGAUGGUAUGCUUUCACUUUUUGACUCAAUUCUCCACUUACGCUGGUUGUUAUCACGAGAAAUCAGUGCUUUAAGCCCUACAAACCAAACUUCAGCUUCAUCCUUGUCUUUACAUAUCUGUCCAUAAUGGUGUCAAACCAAGACAAGUUAUCUCUUCAUAGAGAUGUUAAUCUGAUUUAUUUCAACAGAUAAACAAAUGAAACCUGUAUACGAUUAUUUCCUAAGACAAACAAACAAAAAAUUUUUAAAAAAAAAGCGAUUAUUAUAUGUGUCAUUGAUAGUUUAACAAUACAAAUUCAAACUAAAAGAAUCUACAAAGGAGACAAACUCACCAAGUCCAAUGAUCUAUCAUUGUACAUAAGAGAAAAUGAUUGAUACUCUUUUUCUGGCCGAGGAUACCGUUGAAAUAUUGCAGUACGCUGUCCAGGUAUAAUCUUUGAAACUUGACUGAGUUUUAGCUGCUUCUCUUCUUUACCAGAGUACCAUAUCAACAGAGACUCAUCAUUUGAAAGUUGAAAUGGACAGAAUUUUGGCUUUCCUCUGCGCCCAUACUUGAGUAAAUAUGCCCCUUUCUUAAGUGCUGUAAUAGCCUGGUCGAUAUCCCUCUCGGCAAGACCACUUCUCUGAGAAUCAGCCAUUCAAGUUGCAGCCUUGGUGCAGAACCAAUGCCCAUUUGAACACCAGCCCUUUAAAAAAAAUUUUACCCCAGAAACCAGUCUCCAACUUUGGGCCAUAAAUCUCUCCAAUAACCUCAUUCCCUCGUCUACCCCAUAAUACUAAAUUCACCUCCAAAACCGAAUUUCAACUCCCUUUCACUCCAUCCUUAAAGCCAUAAAAAUCUACAAUGCCGCCAAACGAAACCCUAAAUUAUCUACUAUUAGGUGAGGAAGAGCUCCAACACUCCUGUACGGUAAUCGAAUACCCUAGAAAUCAAUAAACGCAUUAAAUCUUCCAAUAAACUCUUCGAUUUUCGCGCGUUUUAACCCAAAAACAGCAUCCAAAUCAAAAUGCGUUGCAAAUAAAGGCAAUGAGGAUCAGACCCACCUAAAAAUGCAAGAAAUGAAAUAACAGAACGGACAAAUUCCCCAAAUUAACCGAUUUUCAGAAAAUCUGAGACAUGUUUUUCGAGAUCACGGAGAGAGAUUUAAGAUAGCUGAUAGACUCGAUCUUUCAAAAAAAUAAUAACAAAAAAGAAAACGUGCGCUUCUCUUGUGAAGAAAGGAGAAUGCAGGUUAACGAGGACAGGUAACGCGCGCCUCUGCAAUUCUCGUGAAUCUCUCACUCUUCUCUCUCUAUUGAAAU
rnacentral:misc_RNA from 1 species